GGCGUGACUCCUUUUUCAUUGCCCGGGAUUUAGCAGGCAGACGCAGCUUCUGCAAUGGUCGACAUUAACUGCUCCCAGCAGCGGAUCUGAUUAACACGAUACCAAAGUGAUUUUGUUACCUGUGGAUCUUCAAACUUCACAUCCAGAGUUGUGAGGAAUCAGAGGUGCAUGCAGCUGCCCACGGGAAAAAUUUGCCAUCAGCCCAACACAGUUUGGAUUAUCAUAGGACUGUCAGAGGUUUGCCAAACCUGUCAAAUGCAUGAUGGCUCCUGUUUGGACUUACCGAUGUCCUCGACUUCAAGUAUCCAUCAAAACUGUAUACAUUUGAGAUAUAUCAGAGACUCUUUGUGGGGCUGGACAUUAUGCAUCCUAAAUCUUCAUCAAAAUAUGCAAAUCUCCUCACUGAGUUGCCUUAGAUGAUUUCUCAAUAGGAUCUGGUAUUAUUAAUGUUUUUAUUUAUGUAUUGUGUACGUGUAGCCACAUUAAUGGCCUAUUUUGUAGUCACUAUUAAAAGGAACAUUGAUUGAUAUUGAAUACAUGUUAUGGUCUUUAAUCCAUCUUCCCAUUCUUAUUUAAUUGUUAUUGACAGGAAAGUCUGUUUAUCUGUUUUUCCUAGUGUAUAUUGUGCUUACAAUAUCGAAACGAAGAUUUAUUUUCUAAGGUUACAGCCAGAAGUUAAUUGAAUUAAUUUUAAAUCAAAUAUGCAUGGUUAAUUUUAUUUAGAUAAUUAAGUUCAUAAUACUUAAUUAAAAUAAGUACAGUCAACAUAUAGCAAUGUAUAAGUAAGUUAAGUUU
rnacentral:lncRNA from 1 species